rnacentral:rRNA from 1 species
AUUGAACGCUGGCGGCAGGCUUAACACAUGCAAGUCGAGCGGAGCGGGGGCCGGGUGAGUAAUGCCAAGGAAUCGGCCAGGUCGUGGGGGAUAAGGUCCGGUAAUGGGCGCUAAUACUGCAUCCUAUCAGCAGAGCCUAGGUCGGAUUAGCUAGUUGGUGGGGUAAUGGCCUAGCAAGGCGACGAUCCGUAACUGGUCUGAGAGGAUGAUCAGUCACACUGGAACUGAGACACGGUCCAGACUCCUACGGGAGGCAGCAGUGGGGAAUCUUGCACAAUGGGCGCAAGCCUGACGGAGCAACGCCGCGUGAGUGAAGAAGGUCUUCGGAUCGUAAAACACUGUUAUUGGGGAAGCGGUACCUACUCAGGAAGCAACGGCUAACUACGUGCCAGCAGCCGCGGUAAUAC